UACGGAGGAGGCAAGCGUUAUCCGGAAUUAUUGGGCGUAAAGCGUCCGCAGGUGGCACCUCAAGUCUGCGGUCAAAGACUGGGGCUUAACCCUGGAAAGGCCGUGGAAACUGAAGAGCUAGAGUGCAGUAGGGGUAGAGGGAAUUCCCGGUGUAGCGGUGAAAUGCGUAGAGCUCGGGAAGAACAUCGGUGGCGAAAGCGCUCUGCUGGACUGCAACUGACACUCAGGGACGAAAGCUAGGGGAGCGAAUGGG
rnacentral:rRNA from 1 species